UGGGGAAUAUUGGACAAUGGGCGAAAGCCUGAUCCAGCCAUGCCGCGUGAGUGAAGAAGGCCCUAGGGUUGUAAAGCUCUUUCAGCGGGGACGAUAAUGACGGUACCCGCAGAAGAAGUCCCGGCUAACUUCGUGCCAGCAGCCGCGGUAAUACGAAGGGGACUAGCGUUGUUCGGAAUUACUGGGCGUAAAGCGCGCGUAGGCGGACAUUUAAGUCAGGGGUGAAAUGCCAGGGCUCAACCUUGGAAUUGCCUUUGAUACUGGAUGUCUGGAGUUCGGGAGAGGUGAGUGGAAUUCCGAGUGUAGAGGUGAAAUUCGUAGAUAUUCGGAGGAACACCAGAAGCGAAGGCGGCUCACUGGCCCGAUACUGACGCUGAGGCGCGAAAGCGUGGGGAGCAAACAGG
rnacentral:rRNA from 1 species